CAUUCACCUUAACAUUUUCAUCUCUGUAACUCUUAUCUUAGAUACAUACGACUCCUUCAGUGCCCAACACUCACUAACAUAUAACAUGGCCGGUCGUACGACUGUACGAUAAAAUUUUCCUUUCAACUUAUUGGGAAUCUUGCGAUCACAUAAAACUCCCAUGGCACGUCUCCACUUCAACCAUCUGGCUUUAAUCCUAUGACUAAUAUCCUCCUCACAUCCCCCAUCUACUUGAAGGACUGAGUCGAGAUAUUUAAAAUGAUUACUUUGGGACUGUACCACUCCAUCCAAACUAACUCAUUCCCUAUCACCAGUUCGACUUUCACUGAACUUGCAAUGCAUAUAUUCUGUCUUCGUUUUACUUAAUUUAAAACCCUUUGACUAUAGAGUACUUCUCCAAAACUCUAGUUUUCUAUUGACUCCUUCUCGCAUCUCAUCUAUCAGAACCAUAUCAUCCACAAAUAUCAUGUACCAGGGAUACUCUCUUGUAUGUAUUUUGUAUGUUUGGGAAGAAACAUGUUUAAAAUUUUAUAUCAGAGUGACAGUGUAGAGGACAAAUCAAGUUGCCUCUAGACAAGCAUUUAGCAAUCAAUAUCAUAACCUGGGUUGACAUGGAUUUUCUAUAUUGUCAUUAUUAUAGUAUCAUUUGUGACCUGGAAGAUCAUAAGUUCAAAUCCUGGAAAUGGCCUCUAAGAUUGCACACAUCUAACUUUUCCAUAGAUUGUUGUGUUGGAACUAGGAAGCCUUGUGUGCUAGAGGAGUUAAUUUUUCCUGGCCAAAAAUGGAAGUUUGAAUUAAUAAAUGCAUGACAACACCUCAGUUUUAACCCUGGAGUUCAGUGUUAGGGUCUAGACUAUAGACUAUUCUUACCUUGUUUCGUACUUUAUUUGCCCUUCUUGGGAUUGGACUAGUGAGUACAAAAACUGGAAAGCUGAUAAUUGAACAAUAAUUUGCCCAUUGGUUCCUAUCUUGGUUUUCGUAGCUUAAUUGACUGUCUUCCAAUUGGUGUUUUAUCCCACUUUUUUCUAAUAUCUGCCAGCAUACGAGUUUGAUUACAUUUUCGACUGGACCAUUCUAGAGUAUCAGCAGACACUUGCAAAGAAACAACCUCAAUCAUCGCCAGUUUCUGGAGUUACAAGCAGUGGAGCUGUGGCUGUGGAUUUGGAGAAACAUAUAGCUAAGCUACAGGAUUGCCAUUACUGUCAGUGGUGUCAAUUGCAAAUCUUGUUCAGCUGAAGUUACAGAGCACGAAGGAUCAAAUAAUCUUGUUCUUCCUGGUGUUCAUACACAGUUAAGAUCACCCCAGAAUUUAGGCACUGAUAAUCCAAAUGACAAACAUACAGUAACCAAUGCGCCAAUGCCAUCAACGUCAUUUUCUCUACCCAGUUCCCUUGGAAGAAAUAUUAAGAAACUAGGGGGUUCAAAUGAAGCUUUGAAUAUUGGUCGUGGGUUUGGGAACAAAACUGGUGCCAGCAGCUUGAUGAGAAUAUCUUCAGCUAAGUAAUUUGUGUGCUAACUCUACAUCCAUUUUUUUUCUUUCUUUUUGGUAAUAUUUUAUGGUUAAAUUCUUAAUAUGGAAUCCAUGGAUGCAUUUAUGACUGUAAAUGCUGUAAACUGUGUUUUAUUGAUCAACUACUAAGAUUUUCUUUUUUUUUUGGGGGGGUUACUUUUGGCUACAUAUUUCAGGGACAGAAUCCAGAUAUGAAGUUAAUAUCAGAGUUUGAAUGCCUUGAACCCAAGAAAUUUGGUUUGGUCAAUAUAUCAUUCACAAGGUGACUACAAAGUACAGACAUUGGAUGGUGCUGGGUCCUAGUCCAUCGAAGUGUUUUUUUUUUUUCCUGCUUGCAUGGAUUGAAAGUGAUUAAGCCUGUAUAUGUUUAAUUGUUUUGUUGGAUGAUAUGUAAAGCGUUUCUCCCAUUAUUCUAUUAAUUGAUCAUGAGGUUCCUUGAAGCUUGAAGAAUGUACAAGUAUUUUGAA